rnacentral:rRNA from 1 species
UCGGGAAUUUUGGGCAAUGGGGGAAACCCUGACCCAGCAACGCCGCGUGAAGGAUGAAGUAUUUCGGUAUGUAAACUUCGAAAGAAUAGGAAGAAUAAAUGACGGUACUAUUUAUAAGGUCCGGCUAACUACGUGCCAGCAGCCGCGGUAAUACGUAGGGACCAAGCGUUGUUCGGAUUUACUGGGCGUAAAGGGCGCGUAGGCGGCAUGACAAGUCACUUGUGAAAUCUCUGGGCUUAACCCAGAACGGCCAAGUGAUACUGUCGCGCUAGAGUGCAGAAGGGGCAAUCGGAAUUCUUGGUGUAGCGGUGAAAUGCGUAGAUAUCAAGAGGAACACCUGAGGUGAAGACGGGUUGCUGGGCUGACACUGACACUGAGGUGCGAAAGCGUGGGGAGCAAACAGGAUUAGAUACCCACGUAGUCCCUGAGCGGGCUGGCAAGGCGCAU